UACGUAGGGUGCAAGCGUUAAUCGGAAUUACUGGGCGUAAAGCGUGCGCAGGCGGUUUUGUAAGUCUGACGUGAAAUCCCCCGGGCUCAACCUGGGAAUUGCGUUGGAGACUGCAAGGCUGGAGUCUGGCAGAGGGGGGGUAGAAUUCCACGUGUAGCAGUGAAAUGCGUAGAGAUGUGGAGGAACACCGAUGGCGAAGGCAGCCCCCCUGGGUCAAGACUGACGCUCAUGCACGAAAAGCGUGGGGGAGCAAACAGG
rnacentral:rRNA from 1 species